GUUAAUAAUAAUAUAAAUAAAAAAUAUUAGAAGAAAAUAAAGCAAAUUGUCUUAAAAUGCAUUAAAAUUUUUAUAAAAUUAUACGGCAAUGCUUUAUAAUCAUUUGCUAUACGCGAUUAUUUAUAAGUGACUGGCAUAAUUUACGUAAUUGACCGCAUUGCGUAAGAUAUUUUCCAUGAAAAUCUGUUCCAACUAAAAAUACUAACAUGCCUCAGUAAUUUUGUUUUUGUCUUCAUUUUACUUCAACGCAGUAAAUCUUGAUUAUAUUAAAUUUUAAAUAGUAUCUUGAACCUUGGUCUCCGACGUUUUUAAUUUACAUGUUACUUUUAUUUCAGCCUGAUUAAUUAAUUUAAAUUCUUAAUUUUUAGGUGCUAUUGCAUACAUGAUUAAGUAAAUUUAAACGUAUUUCCAAUGAGUUAUAACUUACAUAAAAAAAUAAUUUAUUUUUAAUUAUAGAGCUAUUUCAUUCUACAAAGUUCUAGAGUCUUUUACAAACAAAAUUUGAUCUCUUUUAACAGUGAAAAAAGAAGGAAGAGAAAAAGAAAGAUUACGUUUCUUUAAUUCCACCUUACUUUAUUAGCACAUUAUAAUCAAGUCAUAAAAUAAUUAUACACCACUUGCAGCUGUUUCUUGUUCUAAGAAUAAAACGUUUCGUGUUCAACCCGUGUUCUUGCAAGGCUGAUCAACAGAUGUAAAAAAAAAAAACAGUGAAUAAUUGUACAUUGCGUAGUAAACAAAGGAAUUCGAACAGAAUCAGAUUAUUCCCAUUCUUCUGGAUCUCCUUAAUUACUAAUAUUUUAAACAUUGCGUGGAAAUCGUUUCUAAGAUUGAUGAAUUUGUCCAUGAGUUUGAGCGAGAAAAGGAAAAUGAAAUUUCUAUAAAAACGAUAAAAUUACGCAAUCCCGUUAAUUGGUAAUUUCUGUUCACUUCGUCAGGGAUGAAUGCAUCUCUGUUACCAUUCGAUCAAUACACACGAUCGUAACGUCGUUAUAAAAUCAAACAAAGUACCAAGAAAUAGUCGUGAAACGCAAAACGAGAAAUACAAAGAAUUUGUCUAAUGAAUUUAAAUCGAUUUCUCAUGCAUCUCCCCCUACCAACAGAUCGGCGGUCGAGUCACUCGUUGACAUAAGAGUCCGUUAACCUUGUCAGUGUCUCACUGAGGUUAUUUAAAUAAUCGACGAAACAUCAGGCGCAACUUCCACGUACGGCUUUACGAUUCAUAGUUUUAAGACCAGGUGUCGCAUUCUACCGUGAUCCCGGCAGGAAUAGAGACGCAUCUUUCGACAUCGUUCGCGCGUACCGCAGCUGCCUUCUUUUCCCAUUGUGUUUUAAUGGGCCACGUGGCAGAGAGAUGUCCGAGUGUUAGUAAAGCGGCACGGAGCCGCUUUUCCACGAACGUGUCGCAACGCUAGAAGGCCAAGCCCCCAUUUAGAAGUUGUUCUUGGCCUCUCCAACUCCCCACCACUGCACACCCUCUCUUUGCCCCACUACUGGCGCCGACCAACUGACAAUACCCCUCUCCUCUCCUAACCUCGCAACGACACUACUGGUUUCCCUAUAUCAAUCAUAUUCAGAGCUUUUACCAAAUAUUUGCUCGUUUCGUGCGAGAUAAACUUCAUGUUUGUAAUUUAAAACAAACCUUGAAUGAUAAUAACAACAUACGCGUCGGUAUUUGAUUAAAUUUGAAAAGCAAACACACAACAUCGCUAGGGAUAUUUUCAAUUUUCAAAUAUCACCAACUGCGGUAUUCGAGCUUGAACAAGCGUUUAAUCGAAAUACCACUAAAUAGUAAUAUUUUGUAGUAAUAGCCGGUGUUCUCCUUUUUCUCUCCAUUUGUACCAAGAAAACGAGAAUUAUUCGCGUGGUAAUGGUCCGAUUAUUCCGUGCCUCUUACGCUGGCUUCGAAAUAGCCGAUCGUUUCUUAAAAACACAGCGAACAGAACACUUUCGCCAGAAUCGUCGUGUCACGAUUAACAAACCUGCAGUUACAAUAAAUAUUCAUCGUUGCGAAUAAAAGGAACGAGUGCCAGUGCCGAUUUCGAGAAACGAUUUCACAUCACGUCAUCGACGAAUUGGUAUUAUCCGGAACCCCAUAAUCGGUUCCACCAAAAGGCUCUUCACAUGUUUACAACCCCUUUUUUCGCGUCAUCGAUAAGUCAGGUUACAAUGUGCUAUCGGUAUCGGUAAAGGUAAUUACUAAGAUAACAUUUUCCACGAAUGUACAAUUCUAGAUACAAAAUCAAUCAAAUAUAAUAUACCUAUAAUGCAUCUUGGCGAAUAAUAAGAAAUAUAUGUAUGUGCACGUACGUGUUAUCUGUCAAGCAUGAUAUUAAAAUUACUUGUUUUAUUUAUUUAAGAUACCAGCGAGAUAUUUCAAUAAUAUCAUAUACUGCUUUCUACAAAUAAAAAUUCUUUUUUUUUUUUACUAUUUUUGAAACAAGAAAUGUAUUGUCUUCGAAUUAUUUUCGAAUCUUGUAAGUAGAAUCGUUCGAAGUUUGUCAGACUCAUAGAGAAUUCGACACCUCUAAUACGAAUCUUUUUUACGCCGUUUAACGUGAAUAUGACAAAUAUUUCAAGAACGUAUCUAGUUAUAUUUUUAUUUUUUAAACAAUAACACCAAAUGUUUAGAAACAUUUUCACCUGAAUUUUAUCUAAUCGUUCGCCCAUUCUAAAAGACAAGCAUAGCAAUUCGAGCUUUUAGUUCUAUCAAACUUUGAGUUUACAAUCUGCCUAAAUAUUUUCUAUGGUUGCAGGUUUGUCAAGUGGAUAUAUGGAAUGAUCAAACAAUUAUUCUGUUUCAUGACGCAAACUCACUUCCUUAUCGAGUAUUCCUUGAAGUAAUAGCCGUCAAUUGAUGACACGUACACGAUAUCGAAAUUAUGUGGUAUUGAAAUAUAUGUACAGUACUUUUAUGAAAGUGCCUACUACGCAUUCAAGCGUUGUCGUUCGCAACUUAUUUUGGAAUUCUAAGAUUCCAUGCUAUUUGCCCGAAGAAUGUUAAUUAAAAAAUCACUUCUGUUGAAUCGCUUAUCGUCGGUAAAAUCGCUUCCUUUUUUUCCCUUUCUUAAUUUUUUCUACGUACCAUAACGUAGCUUUGUUCGCUCGCGUGAGAAAUUAUUUCUCUACAAUAUUCGUUUCUUUCGCGAAAUAAUCUUUCGAUCGUAGAUGCACUUUUCUUAAGAAAGAAGGGGAAAAAAAAAGAAGCAAGAAAGAACGCAAAUUUGUUCAAAGUGAAAAAAGACUGAAAACAAGAUUUUAUCUAUCAAUUAGUACCUAUUACGCAGAUUUGCUCCAGGUAACGUAUAAUUACAUAAGAUGUUAUAUGCGUUUAGCGAAGCAAUUUAGAGCUACUUUUCUUCAAGAAUAAUAAUCAAAGAAUGGAAAGCCGCAACACUGAUAUUUUAUCUAACCGAGCGAGCAAAUCUAUGAAAAGAAUAAUUAGGUCUCGUAAUAUUUCGAUAGAGCGGCAGUAAUUAAAAUUUGCUAGUUUCCGCUUUCUCAAAUUCCAUCGUUUAAAUUCUAUUUUAAUUAGUAUCAAUAUAACGUACAGUAAUUUCGAGAAGUAAAAUAAUAUGCCAAAUUUGUGUAGAUUUUUUCAAUGCCCGCCAGUAAGAAGAGGAAGGUGACCUUUAAACGAAGCUACACACACUUUGGAACCGAAUGAAGAAACUGUAUUUUUCUCUACGCUAUCCGAUACACACUUUUUGAUUCUCCCGCGGAAGAUUAUCAAAGUACUUUGUAUCUGAAAAUAUUUAAUUUCAAAGAUAUUUCAAUGUUAAUUAGAUCGAAUCGAGUGUACGAAAGACAAGGAGGACAUAAACAUAAAAACGCUGAAUUAUCUUUCCUUGUCCUUUAUACGAAAGUUAAAAAGUGCAUCGAACGAUGCAUAGGUCCCGUUUUAAGAAGCAAAGGUCACCUUGAGAUCCCGAACACACAUCCACCUAGACGAGAUUUGCGACCGUCGCGAAGCGUCCCCCUCGAAACAAAGCGAGUUUCGUUCGAAACACUAUUUCCAGUAAAUGUAUAAUUUAGCAGAUGUUUCGCACGGAUCGAUUAGAAUGAGACAGCCUGUAUUUCAAAUGCACAUAAGUGUGAAAUACACAUACAAAUAGUUGUUUAAGUGUAUGAAUAGCGAGUUUGAUGGUAGACGUGUAAUUACGUGUUCUUAGAAUAUGCGCAAAAACGCUGAACUCUAGUUUAAAAGGUUUCGGGAAAAAAUGUAUUUCAAUAUUCAUAGAGUACAUAUUAUGAUUUUUUAUUUAUGUCUAUUUUAAUUUACUGCUUCAAUAACAUCAAGUUCUCCUCGGUACUGCUUUAUAGUUUACAUACAUGCUUCUUGUAUUUAUAUGUUCAAUGAUUGUUAUAUCACAUCCAUUUGCAUCUAGUACAAUAGCACUGCACAUUUCGUUCCACCUAUAAUUUCCAACAUUUUCUUCGUUUCUAAUAAGAUCCUGGCGGAUUAUUUUUAUAAGGUUCCGAGUAUUUAAAUAGAAAGGAAAGAAAGAAGAAAAAUAAAAAGAACGUAAUAACUAUAGGAAUCGAAUUUGUGGAUUGUGUAAAAUAGAAAUACGGCCAUGUUUUGUUCAUUAAUUUCGAUUUUUUACUAUUCACAGUAGCCCUGAUCUUUAUUCUUCCUCGACCAUCUGUUCUCUCCUGUCGUUGGAAUGCUAAGGGGAGUGGAAACGGCCGAAGGAGAGAGAAGGAGAGAAAAAUCUUUCUUCGAGCAACGAGGACUUCGCAGAAUCGGACGUCGUAGUUUUAUUUGAGGAAACAGAACGAGACUCUGAUGGAGGGCCACGAAAUUAGAAGAAAUCUAAGAGAAUAUAUUUUUUGUCCUAUCACGAAGAUUUAGGACGUAAAAAUGCACCAGCGGAAAUAUUUAUAAGAAGAAAUAAUUUCUUUCUUUUUUCCUUGUCGUUCUCACUUAUUAACACAUACCUGUUUAUUACCACGGACAUUUAUCAUUUCUGUGGUUAUCGUUUUAUCAUUCGUACGUAGAUGCUCCAAAUGUGUGCGAACGAAUUAGCUAAAGAUUUGAGUAGGAUUACAUGUGCACAGUGUGCAUAAUAAUAAUUCGUUAUUCGCGGUUUUUUAAUGUAAACGUAACUGUCGACUGUGUAAUAAAGAAUGUACGACACAAAAAUUGCUUAAAAGAGGUUAGGAAAUACACAUCGUUGUAUAUGGCCGACGUUGGAUAAAAGAGAAAAGGUUAGGGUAAUAAAAGAAAAUUGAAAUAAUAAAGAAGCGGUAAUAAAAAAUUAAAGGAUAAACGAAUAAACACUAAGAAACGAUUAUUACGUUCACGUGUGUAAGGAUAAACGAAGAACGGUGGAGUGCAUAAAUUUGGCGAAGAAAAAGCAACGAACGAGUUUUACGAUGCACGUUCGAAGUCAUAAGGUGGUUCGAAGGCAUCAUAAAUCGAGAGAAGGGUUUGGGAUCUACCCUGUUUUCAAGGGGCCUGGCUAGAAAUUCGUCUUCUUGGAAAACGACGAACUGGGCUGAUGACCUAUACGCCGGCGAAAUACAGUUCGUCGUAGCGAAUGCUAAUUUUACUGGUCAACUUCAUCGAUGCCUCUACGGUCCUUUCGUUAUACAGCACUUUUCAGAAACGGCGGCCGACGUUCGCAAAUAUCACAUUGUAUUUUACUUCUCAAUUUUUUUUUAAUAUUUUUAAGUAAUUAUUUACCGACUACGGAUAGUUGAAUUGGGAGCGUAAAAUAUUCGAUAUGCAGCACCAAAGGACGUAAAUAUACAGGAUGAGAAAGUUUUAGUUCAUUUCCUUUUUUUUUUUUUAUUAAUAAAUAUUUUCUAUACUUUGAAGCAAUAAACAAAGUCAAUUUUUUGGUCAAAUCACCAUCUCUUUGUAAACCUUUUGCGAAACAAUUUUAAUUUUCAAAAUCUUACUAGAAUUAAAUGAACCAAUUGGUAUUUGAAUUUCUAUCUAUGAUGAGAAUAAAAGACGGUUCUAGGGAAUUUCGCGGCUAAUUGAGUAAUCACCAUUUAUGAAUGAUACUGUAGCUGGCCUCGUUAUCGGCAAGAUUUCCAGCAAGUAUAAAUGAGAAGAGGUUCCUCGAAUGAGUGGCAACACGGAUUUUAUCACUUACAGAUAAGCGUGAAUUUUAUUUUACAAGCCUUCGCGGAAAUAAACCUGCUUCCGUGAAAGAAUCGGCUUUUGUUGUUGCAAGUAUUUAGAGCAUUACCCUCAGGCUAUUAAUCAAUUAAUAAUUUUUUUCCUCCGGACUAAUUUUAAUUCUGCAUAAGACCAUUUUAACGCAACCAUUGCAAGAAUCAUUGAUCUAACGACGAAAUUACGAAAUUGGAAAUUUUUCCCGCGAAAUACAAAAUUUGCAAAACAUCAAGUAGCAAAUGUAAGAUUACUGUUCCAUUUCUUACACCGCGAAUCUGUUAAAUAUUAACAUUUGCAAUGUUAUUUGAACGCGCAGUGUCUUCAACAAGUCAGUAAAACGAUUUUACAAUGAUAAAUUAUAAAUAUUGAAACAUUGCAUGUGGUCGAAUUUUUAUUACAAACUGGUUCAUUU